AAGGGACCUCCGAGGUCAUUCAGUCAACCUCCUUUAUCUUAGAGGAGGAAACUGAGGUGCGCAGGGGAAAGUGACUUCCUCAAGGUCACACAGCCACAUUUGUUAAGUACUUACCGCAUGCCAAAAAUUUUAUUGUAUGCUAAGAACAAAGAAGACCUGGUCUUCAAGGAGCUUGUUUACUACUUAGAAGAAACAACAUGUGAACAAAGGGGCAGCUAGGCGUGGCGCCAUAGUGCAUAGGGCUGGAC